rnacentral:rRNA from 1 species
UACAGAGGUCCCAAGCGUUGUUCGGAUUCACUGGGCGUAAAGGGUGCGUAGGUGGCCAGGUAAGUUUGAUGUGAAAGCUCGGAGCUUAACUCCGAAAUGGCAUUGAAUACUAUCUGGCUUGAGGGUCGGAGGGGAGACUGGAAUUCCCGGUGUAGAGGUGAAAUUCGUAGAUAUCGGGAGGAACACCAGUGGCGAAGGCGGCGAUCUGGGAAGAUACUGACGCUGAGGUGCGAAAGCGUGGGGAGCAAACAGG